GACGAACGCUGGCGGCGUGCUUAACACAUGCAAGUCGAACGCUGAAGCUCAGCUUUUGUUGGGUGGAUGAGUGGCGAACGGGUGAGUAACACGUGAGUAACCUGCCUCCUUCUUUGGGAUAACGCCCGGAAACGGGUGCUAAUACUGGAUAUUCACUGGUCUUCGCAUGGGGGUUGGUGGAAAGGGUUUUUCUGGUGGGGGAUGGGCUCGCGGCCUAUCAGCUUGUUGGUGGGGUGAUGGCCUACCAAGGCUUUGACGGGUAGCCGGCCUGAGAGGGUGACCGGUCACAUUGGGACUGAGAUACGGCCCAGACUCCUACGGGAGGCAGCAGUGGGGAAUAUUGCACAAUGGGCGCAAGCCUGAUGCAGCGACGCCGCGUGAGGGACGGAGGCCUUCGGGUUGUGAACCUCUUUCGCUCAUGGUCAAGCCGCAACAAUGGUUGUGGUGAGGGUAGUGGGUAAAGAAGCGCCGGCUAACUACGUG
rnacentral:rRNA from 1 species